UACGUAGGUGGCAAGCGUUGUCCGGAUUUACUGGGCGUAAAGAGCGCGCAGGCGGUCGUUCAAGUCGCGUGUGAAAGCCCCCGGCUCAACUGGGGAGGGUCACGCGAUACUGAUCGACUGGAAGGCAGGAGAGGGUAGUGGAAUUCCCGGUGUAGUGGUGAAAUGCGUAGAUAUCUGGAGGAACACCGGUGGCGAAGGCGGCGUUCUGGACUGCAACUGACACUGAGAGACGAAAGCCAGGGGAGCAAACGGG
rnacentral:rRNA from 1 species